GUGCUUACUUCGGCAGCACAUAUAUUAAAAUUGGAAUGAUACAGAGAAGAUUAGCAUUUGCAAGGAUGACACGCAAAUUCGUGAGGUGUUCCAUAUUUUU
rnacentral:snRNA from 1 species